UACAGAGGGUGCGAGCGUUGUUCGGAAUUAUUGGGCGUAAAGCGCUUGUAGGUGGUUUUUUAAGUCGACUGUGAAAGCCCCUGGCUCAACCAGGGAAGUGCAGUCGAUACUGGGAGACUUGAGUGCCGGAGAGGGUCGCGGAAUUCCCGGUGUAGAGGUGAAAUUCGUAGAUAUCGGGAGGAACACCAGUGGCGAAGGCGGCGACCUGGACGGACACUGACACUGAGACGCGAAAGCGUGGGUAGCAAACAGG
rnacentral:rRNA from 1 species